GCAAAGGCGUAGCAACCGGCAGCGCUUUGGCCAACUACAUCAUCCCGUGUUGAGUUGGGAGAUGAUGUGGGCAUACAUGGAUUAUAUGGGAAGACCCGCAAGUCCCACAUAUAAUUUGACGCGAUAGGGAGGUGUCCACGAACACUAUUUUUUGUGGGCUUGUUCGUGGGCACCAUGGACUGCCCGUGGCCAUCUAAAGUCUGAUAACUAACCUAAUAAACUAAAUAAAUAACCUAACUAAUUU
rnacentral:lncRNA from 1 species